AAUAUCAAAGACAACACAAUUUCUUUGUUGCUUAACCACAUCUGGAAAUUAAUGCCACCAUAAAUGUUUCAUCUCAAUUCAUUGUUGCUAGAUGAAUUAAUGUUUUUUUGUUGCUUCUAUUUUUUGUAUCUUCUACAAUACUUUGUUGUUUAAAGCUCCAUGAACGGCAUCCAUAGGGCUGAUAACUCUAGCUAGAUGAAUAGCUACAUUUCUUCUAUACCAUUCACACUUUUUUAAUUUAUAGUAAUAAUGAUUAAGUUAUAUUUUAACUUUGACUUAUUUACUUAUUUCUUACUAUUGCAUAAAACUUGAAAAAGUAAGGCAGGAAUCCAAAUCCAAAGAUGAAUAUUUGAGGAAGUUAGAAGAGAACUUAUAGAACCUUGAGAGCAAGGCAAAAGGCAGAGAUUAGAGUCAUAAAAAUCUACAUGAGAAGAUCAAAAAACUUGAAGGUAGCCAUCCACAACCAAUAUGAGAAGCAACUUUAGAAAUUAUCUGAGAGAUUGAAGGGAAAGGAAGAAGUCAAAGAGUUGGAGACCAAGCUUUUGCUUUUACAGCACUCAGAAUCUGCAUAUUUUCAACAAAAGGAGCAAAAGGCAAUGCUGGAGAAUGAGGCCCUGCGCAAUCAGCUUGAGCAAAAACGAAGAAGCAUCUCCAAGUCAGUUUCCCUUGAAUUUGAGCCUAAAAAGAGGAGGUUUUCCCAAACAUGUUCAAAAUUGUUUCUACCUCAUCUAAGGAAAAUGAGCAUUCAGACACUUGUUUGCAAUUGGGGUAC